UACGUAGGUGGCAAGCGUUGUCCGGAAUUAUUGGGCGUAAAGCGCGCGCAGGCGGCCUUUUAAGUCUGAUGUGAAAGCCCACGGCUCAACCGUGGAAGGUCAUUGGAAACUGAAAGGCUUGAGUACAGAAGAGGAAAGCGGAAUUCCACGUGUAGCGGUGAAAUGCGUAGAGAUGUGGAGGAACACCAGUGGCGAAGGCGGCAUCCUGGACCGACACUGACGCUGAGGAGCGAAAGCCAGGGGAGCAAACGGG
rnacentral:rRNA from 1 species